rnacentral:rRNA from 1 species
GAUGAACGCUGGCGGCGUGCUUAACACAUGCAAGUCGAGCGAAGCACUUAUGAUUGAAUUUUUAGGAAUGAUUUCAUUUGUGACUGAGCGGCGGACGGGUGCGUAACGCGUGGGUAACCUGCCGUAUUCAGGCGGAUACCAGUUAGAAAUGACUGCUAAUACCGCAUAAGCGCACAGUACUGCAUGGUACAGUGUGAAAGACUACGGUGGUAUGGGAUAGACCCGCGUUUGAUUAGCUAGUUGGGGAGGUAACGCACCACAAAGGCGACGAUCAAUAGCGGACCGGGGGGGGUGACCGGCCACAAUGGAACGGAGACACGGCCCAAACUCCUACGGGAGGCAGCAGUGGGGAAUAUUGCACAAUGGGGGAAACCCGGAUGCAGCAACGCGGCGUUAGUGAAGAAGUAUUUCGGUAUGUAAAGCUCUAUCAGCAGGGAAGAGAAUGACGGUACCUGACUAAGAAGCCCCGGCUAACUACGUGCCAGCAGCCGCCGUAA